AACGAACGCUGGCGGCAUGCCUAACACAUGCAAGUCGAACGAGACCUUCGGGUCUAGUGGCGCACGGGUGCGCAACGCGUGGGAACCUGCCCUUAGGUUCGGAAUAACUCCCCGAAAGGGGUGCUAAUACCGGAUAAUGUCUUCGGACCAAAGAUUUAUCGCCUUUGGAUGGGCCCGCGUUGGAUUAGCUAGUUGGUAGGGUAAAAGCCUACCAAGGCGACGAUCCAUAGCUGGUCUGAGAGGAGGAUCAGCCACACUGGGACUGAGACACGGCCCAGACUCCUACGGGAGGCAGCAGUGGGGAAUAUUGGACAAUGGGCGAAAGCCUGAUCCAGCAAUGCCGCGUGAGUGAUGAAGGCCUUAGGGUUGUAAAGCUCUUUUACCCGGGAUGAUAAUGACAGUACCGGGAGAAUAAGCUCCGGCUAACUCCGUG
rnacentral:rRNA from 1 species